UACGUAGGGUGCAAGCGUUAAUCGGAAUUACUGGGCGUAAAGCGUGCGCAGGCGGUUUCGUAAGUCUGUCGUGAAAUCCCCGGGCUUAACCUGGGAAUGGCGAUGGAGACUGCAAGGCUAGAGUUUGGCAGAGGGGGGUAGAAUUCCACGUGUAGCAGUGAAAUGCGUAGAGAUGUGGAGGAACACCGAUGGCGAAGGCAGCCCCCUGGGUCAAAACUGACGCUCAUGCACGAAAGCGUGGGGAGCAAACAGG
rnacentral:rRNA from 1 species